GUAUGUGUGUUUCGUCGAAAGCAGAUCAGAUAACGCGUACUAUGAAGAGAUACACUCUACAGUGCCUCCAGAUGUAUCUCUUCAAAUAUUCUCAUAAGCUGGUACUGAAAGGCAAGCUGUACCACCCAUCUAUGCUAUCGAUAAAGCGAAAGCGUCCUUUAGGAAUCGUGGAAAUAUGAAUAAGUUGUGGUGACUAAAGACUAAAGAGAUUAAGACAGAAGUAGAUUGGAAGGCUACUUACAGGCUCUUCCUGCCCAGUGUUUGUUUACAUGGUGUAAAGAAAAUAUAGAAAAUGCCAGCAGAUGAUCCAGUGUUCUCUUUCUGUAAUCUGUCCCUGGCAUCGGCAACUUUUUUGUCUGCGGAGUAGAUAUUAAUAAAUAUUAAGAAGGGUCAGUGGUAUUUUCAUAUUAAGGCAGUCUUCUUGGGGAAUAAUAAUACUGCUGCUGCUGAAGUUUAAGAAUACAUAUAUUAAUUGGGCCCCCUCUCUUAUUUAGUAGCUAUUGAGCGCAAGUUUUCCUUUUACUCCCUAGCUCUCGCUAGUCAAGGUGUUACGGUCAGUAUUAAUCUCUGAUUACAUCUAUACUUGCUAUUAUGCUAUUAUUCAAGAUUAAGUUUUACUGUUGUUAAAUUUGUCAUGCUCAAAAGUUGUGUAAAUAGAAUAAAGAUCUUAAACUCAAUAAGAAA